rnacentral:misc_RNA from 1 species
AGAGAGAGAGAGAGAGAGAGAUGAGGAAGAAGAAGUCAUGCCCGAGAGUAACAGGGAAGAGAACAUCAAAGGAAAUAGCAGAAAGACUAAAUCCGAGGGAAGAAAAUGGAGAUGAAAACGAAGAAGAGAAAAACAAACAAGGAAAAGGGUUUUACGCUUGCUAUCUCUUGACUUCCCUCUGCCCUCGCUUCAAAGGCCAUACCUAUAUAGGAUUUACAGUGAAUCCACGGCGUCGUAUCAGGCAACACAAUGGUGAAAUCAGAAGCGGAGCUUUUAGAACCAAGAAAAGGCGACCUUGGGAAAUGGUCUUCUGCAUUUUUGGUUUCCCAACUAAUGUAUCUGCUCUCCAGUUUGAAUGGGCAUGGCAGCAUCCAACAGAAUCAGUAGCUGUCAGGCAAGCAGCUGCAACUUUUAAAUCAUUCUCAGGGGUAGCUAAUAAGAUUAAACUUGCAUACACAAUGCUUAACCUUCCAGCUUGGCGGAGCUUGAACAUUACCGUGAACUAUUUCUCAACAAAAUACACAAAGCAUUCUGCUGCUUGCCCAAGCUUGCCAGAGCACAUGAAGGUCCAGGUUUGCCCCAUUGAUGAGCUUCCUUGUUAUACUGAAACAGAUGAGACUUUGUUGGAAUUCACGGAUGCUGAAUAUGUAUUUGAUGACAAGGAAGAAUAUGAUAACGCUGCCAAUAUUAAUGGCACUGUAGAAGCGAACAUGACAGAGAUCCAAUCUCACUCCAUGGAUGGGUUUCCAUGCUAUCAUAAAGGGGAGGAAAGUUCUGGCAGCAAAGAUAGCAAUGUUGAACAAUGCAAUGAAGGUGACAAUACAAGUGAGGCUGUAAAAGAAACGUGUGAAGACACAACAGUUCAUAUUUCUUUGGAUAUUGCACAUAACAUUGAUGAGAAUUCUUAUGAAAAAUUUGGUUGGUUUAAAGAGUAUGGCAAGAGAGAGCAAACUGUGAAGAAUAUUUUUGCAGAUUAUCCUCCUACUGCAGAAGUUGAUCAUGCACUAGUGGGUUCGGCAUCAUCCCCUUUUACUGACUUUUCUGAUGAUGGAUUAACAUCGAUGAAUAAGAACAUUUCUGAUUUGGAUUGGUUGAAUGGGAAAAGAUUUAGAGAGGAAUCUGAUAAAGAUCCACAUCCGAUUCACAAUUAUACUUCCCCACAAGAAAUUGAGGUUAUAGAUUUGUUAUCCCCAUCUUCAGGAUUCAAAAUUAGGUCAAGCAUAAAGAAGAGAAGAAUAUCUACUGUUUGUCCAGAGAUAAUCGACUUGACAUAGGCGCCUGAGUAAGUACUGAUGAGAUCAUUGACUUGAUGAAAUCUCCCUAUUAAUUUGUCAAAUUAUUCAGUGUUGGACAUAAUAAGUAAAACAAAUAAUGGGAAUAAUAAAUGAAGUGUUUCAAUAUGGAUUGUGUAGAUUGUAGUAUUAUUAUAACAGUCAGAAACUUUUCUUAUCCAUAUUUUGCUUUUAGAUUUAUCUGUGGCUGUUUAUGUUUUGAGUAAAUAUGUGCAGAGUACAGGAUUUAGGUUAGUCAGGUUGAGCAUGUUACAUCAAGAGAAGUGCUGAAAACGAAGUGUCUUUCAUUUUGUGUGAGUUGCAAUGCAUUGCAGCUUCAAAUUAUUUUGAGAAAUCAAUUUGGAUGGAUAUGAAUUUCAAAUGAUAAGAUAUUUGAAUUUAGU